rfam:Bacteroidetes bacterium RIFCSPLOWO2_12_FTLL_35_15 rifcsplowo2_12_scaffold_30957, whole genome shotgun sequence.
CCCUGUGUGUUGUCACAGGUUCCUUACUUUGACAUGCGAUGUUGGCAACGACAUGGUGUGAAGCUCAAAGGACAAUGUACUCUAAAGAUUAAGCUGUGAAGCAAAAAAUCGAAAUUCAUGAGCACUACAUGAAAGGAGGC